CCUACGGGUGGCAGCAGUGAGGAAUAUUGGUCCAUGGUCGGGAGACUGAACCAGCCAAGCCGCGUGAGGGAUGAAGGUACAGAGUAUCGUAAACCUCUUUUGUCAGGGAACAAAGACUGGGACGCGUCCCCGGAUGAGUGUACCUGAAGAAAAAGCAUCGGCUAACUCCGUGCCAGCAGCCGCGGUAAUACGGAGGAUGCGAGCGUUAUCCGGAUUUAUUGGGUUUAAAGGGUGCGCAGGGGGUAUGUUAAGUCAGCGGUAAAAGCCCGGGGCUCAACCCCGGCCCGCCGUUGAAACUGGCAGUCUCGAGUGGGCGAGAAGUAUGCGGAAUGCGCGGUGUAGCGGUGAAAUGCAUAGAUAUCGCGCAGAACUCCGAUUGCGAAGGCAGCAUGCCGGCUCCACACUGACGCUGAGGCACGAAAGCGUGGGUAUCGAACAGGAUUAGAUACCCUUGUAGUC
rnacentral:rRNA from 1 species